rnacentral:lncRNA from 1 species
AUCUGGAAAUCAGUCUGGAGGUUCCUCAGAAAAUUGGAAAUAGAUCUACCUGAAGACCAAGCAAUACUACUCUUGGAAUAUACCCAAAAGAUGCCCCACCAUGCCACAGGGGCAUGUGUUCCACUAUGUUCAUAGUGACCUUAUUUGUCAUAGCCAGGAGCUGGAAACAAUCCAGAUGUUCCUCGACAGAAGAAUGGAUACAGAAAAUGUGGUUCAGAUCCAUCCAUUUGCCUAAGAAUUUCAUUAAUUCAUUGAUUUCAAUGGCUUAGUAGUACUCCAUUAUGUAGAUGAAGGGAAUAUGGUAAAUGUUCCCAUCAGAUGCCCAGCUGCAUCCAAGAAUUGACUUAAAACAAAGACUCCCGUAGGCCACUGAUUUAUUUUUCAUUUUUGGAAUAGUGACGAUUCUUGUGCAUUAUCUAACCCUGAACAGGUAUCCUAUUAAACCUAACAGGUCUUUUGACACAAGCACUACCAAUAAGCUACUGAAGCAUAUUCCUAUCUAGGUUUGCUGUAGAUUAUGAGAUCCUAGGCUUAGAAUUGCUGAUGCAUACAGCUAAUACUUUGAGUAACAUGGAAGGCUGUAAGUGACUUUUGUCUAUGAGAGGAAUUAAGUCGUUGGGACCCAAUGGUCAGAUUAGAUUUCCCUCUAAAAUUGUCUGAAAUAACUCAGUCUCCAUGCCUGUGCACUCUUCUACAACACUGGACUGUGAAUGUCAUGGGUGACAAGCUCCAAGUGGAACAUUAUGUCCAUAAUAAGUAAUACUUAAAAUAUUAAGGUUUUGGAAAACCCUUAAUCCAAUUAUCUUAGAAAAUUAGAUCUCAUCUUUGUAGU